rnacentral:SRP_RNA from 1 species
GCAGACCCCUCGUGCGGCAUCACCUCGCCGAACUCCCCCAGGGCCGGAAGGCAGCAAGGGUAAGUGAGCUCUGGUGGGUGCGCGAGGGGUCCUUUGC